UACAUUUGCUUCUGACACAAUUGUGUUCACUAGCAACCUCAAACAGACACCAUGGUGCACCUGACUCCUGAGGAGAAGUCUGCUGUUACUGCCCUGUGGGGCAAGGUGAACGUGGAUGAAGUUGGUGGUGAGGCCCUGGGCAGGCUGCUGGUGGUCUACCCUUGGACCCAGAGGUUCUUUGAGUCCUUUGGGGAUCUGUCCACUCCUGAUGCUGUUAUGGGCAACCCUAAGGUGAAGGCUCAUGGCAAGAAAGUGCUCGGUGCCUUUAGUGAUGGCCUGGCUCACCUGGACAACCUCAAGGGCACCUUUGCCAAGCUGAGUGAGCUGCACUGUGACAAGCUGCACGUGGAUCCUGAGAACUUCAGGGUGAGUCUAUGGUACCAUUGAUGUUUUCUUUCCCCUUCUUUUCUAUAGUUAAGUUCAUGUCAUAGGAAGGGGAUAAGUAUCAGGGUACAGUUUAGAAUGGGAAACUGACGAAUGAUUGCAUCAGUGUGGAACUCUCAGGAUCAUUUUAGUUUCUUUUAUUUGCUGUUCAUAACAAUUGUUUUCUUUUGUUUAAUUCUUGCUUUCUUUUUUUUCUUCUCUGCAAUUUUUACUAUUAUCCUUAAUGCCUUAACGUUGUGUAUAACAAAAGGAAAUAUCUCUGAGAUACAUUAAGUAACUUAAAAAAAAAGUUUAC
rnacentral:sRNA from 1 species